UGUUCUGUGGCUUAGUUGGUUAAAGCGCCGGUCUAGCGAAUACGGAGUCGUGGGUUCGAAUCCCAUCAGAAGGA
rnacentral:tRNA from 1 species